rnacentral:lncRNA from 1 species
GAAAAUUGUCAACGUCGUUUUACUGUUUACAGUGUAGCGUCAUGCUGUCCGAGUGUCGUGUUCGGUUGCAUUUAGAAUCAGCCCUCCUUGUACCAUUUGUUAGCCAGGCCUAACAAGGAUUUUGGUUUAGAGUUAAGCUAGCCAGGGCUUGGGAGCAGGGACUCUUUCUUUUUGUUAGCCAGGGUUCUGACGAACCUUGGUUUAUUAAAGAAUGGGUCCUAGGCUACCAAGUCUUGGAUAGCUUUAAUUCGCUAGCCAAUAUCUUGUAAGGCAUUAGUUUAUAAUGGAACGUGAACCUGGAAUUUUUGCUCUAUGUUCGGUUGCAUUUAGAAUCAGCCCUCCUUGUACCAUUUGUUAGCCAAUAUCUUGUAAGGCAUUGGUUUAUAAUGGAACGUGAACCUGGAAUUUUUGCUCUAUGUUCGGUUGCAUUUAGAAUCAGCCCUCCUUGUACCAUUUGUUAGCCAAGCCAAACAAGGAUUUUGGUUUAGAGUUAAGCUAGCCAGGGCUUGGGAGCAGGGACUCUUUCUUUUUGUUAGCCAGGGUUCUGACGAACCUUGGUUUAUUAAAGAAUGGGUCCCAGGCUACCAAGUCUUGGAUAGCUUUAAUUCAUAGCCAAUAUCUUGUAAGGCAUUGGUUUAUAAUGGAACGUGAACCUGGAAUUUUUGCUCUAUGUUCGGUUGCAUUUAGAAUCAGCCCUCCUUGUACCAUUUGUUAGCCAGGCCUAACAAGGAUUUUGGUUUAGAGUUAAGCUAGCCAGGGCUUGGGAGCAGGGACUCUUUCUUUUUGUUAGCCAGGGUUCUGACAAACCUUGGUUUAUUAAAGAAUGGGUCCUAGGCUACCAAGUCUUGGAUAGCUUUAAUUCACUAGCCAAUAUCUUGUAAGGCAUUGGUUUAUAAUGGAACGUGAACCUGUAAUUUUUGCUCUAUGUUCGCAUUUAGAACCAGCCCUCCUUGUACCAUUUGUUAGCCAGGCCUAACAAGGAUUUUGGUUUAGAGUUAAGCUAGCCAGGGCUUGGGAGCAGGGACUCUUUCUUUUUGUUAGCCAGGGUUCUGACGAACCUUGGUUUAUUAAAGAAUGGGUCCCAGGCUACCAAGUCUUGGAUAGCUUUAAUUCGCUAGCCAAUAUCUUGUAAGGCAUUGGUUUAUAAUGGAACGUGAACCUGGAAUUUUUGCUCUAUGUUCGGUUGCAUUUAGAAUCAGCCCUCCUUGUACCAUUUGUUGGUCAAGCCAAACAAGGAUUUUGGUUUAGAGUUAAGCUAGCCAGGGCUUGGGAGCAGGGACUCUUUCUUUUUUGUUAGCCAGGGUUCUGACGAACCUUGGUUUAUUAAAGAAUGGGUCCUAGGCUACCAAGUCUUGGAUAGCUUUAAUUCGCUAGCCAAUAUCUUGUAAGGCAUUGGUUUAUAAUGGAACCUGAACCUGUAAUUUUUGCUCUAUGUUCGGUUGCAUUUAGAAUCAGCCCUCCUUGUACCAUUUGUUAGCCAGGCCUAACAAGGAUUUUGGUUUAGAGUUAAGCUAGCCAGGGCUUGGGAGCAGGGACUCUUUCUUUUUGUUAGCCAGGGUUCUGACAAACCUUGGUUUAUUAAAGAAUGGGUCCUAGGCUACCAAGUCUUGGAUAGCUUUAAUUCGCUAGCCAAUAUCUUGUAAGGCAUUGGUUUAUAAUGGAACGUGAACCUGUAAUUUUUGCUCUAUGUUCGCAUUUAGAACCAGCCCUCCUUGUACCAUUUGUUAGCCAGGCCUAACAAGGAUUUUGGUUUAGAGUUAAGCUAGCCAGGGCUUGGGAGCAGGGACUCUUUCUUUUUGUUAGCCAGGGUUCUGACGAACCUUGGUUUAUUAAAGAAUGGGUCCCAGGCUACCAAGUCUUGGAUAGCUUUAAUUCGCUAGCCAAUAUCUUGUAAGGCAUUGGUUUAUAAUGGAACGUGAACCUGGAAUUUUUGCUCUAUGUUCGGUUGCAUUUAGAAUCAGCCCUCCUUGUACCAUUUGUUAGCCAGGCCUAACAAGGAUUUUGGUUUAGAGUUAAGCUAGCCAGGGCUUGGGAGCAGGGACUCUUUCUUUUUGUUAGCCAGGGUUCUGACGAACCUUGGUUUAUUAAAGAAUGGGUCCUAGGCUACCCAGUCUUGGAUAGCUGUAAGGUUGGCACCUUACUCAUAGCAAGACUUUGAACAUCCGAACAUCUAAGCCUAUAUGAGAUUUGGCCCCAUUUUGGUUUGUGUAAUUGGAAGCUUGAGGAACACGUAUGGAAACGUGUUCAUCGCAAGUCUCUCCAGCCCUAAACGCUAGAUUGUUUGUGAACAAAAUACAAGUGUAAUAAUA